GUGCAGGAUGAGAACAUGCUCCAAGAACUUGUGCCUGUGAAAGGUAUGUAGUUCACAUCACAAGAUGUGGCGCGAGAAUUCUACAACACGUAUGCGAGGCAUGCAGGCUUCGGCACACGCAAAAACGGUGGAUCCAAAACAAACAGAUACAUCGUGUGCUCAAAGGAAGGCAGAGGCGAAGAAACUGUCACAGAUUAUCACAGAAAGCGAGAAAAAACAUCAAAGAGGACUGGCUGCAAGGCGGGAAUGAGAUUGAAAAAAAUCAAGGAUGUGUUUGUGAUAGCAGAGAUUGAGCUCAAUCACAACCACAGGAUGAUUGAUAGCCCGGCUAUGCUUCUGCACAUGCACUCGCAUAAGACGGAUGAUCCGUUGCUCGAUAAACUAGUGAAGGACAUGCAGAGCGACAACCUGACGCACACGCAGAUGAUGUCAACCCUGUCAAGGAUGUCAGGAGGGCUGCACUUUAUGGGGCGCACCAGCCGUGACUGGGUGAACAGGAAGCAUCAAUUCGCGAGGGAGGAAACAGAGGACGAUGUGAAGAAACUCCUGGCUUUCUUUGAGAAGAUGCAGCAAAUGAACCCGGAGUUCUUCUAUGAUUACGACAAAGACGUCGAUAACCGUGUGCGGAACAUAUUCUGGGCGAACGCCAGCUGCAGGGGAUCGUACGAAGAUUUUGGAGAUUAUGUCACAUUUGACACGACCUACAAGACCAACAAGUUCCACAUGCCUCUCGCCGUAUUCGUUGGAGUCAACCACCACCUCCAAAGUACAAUAUUCGUUGUGGCUCUCAUCAGAGACGAAACAAUACCGACUUUCGAGUGGGUGUUCCGAACGUUAUUGCGUUGCAUGAACAAUAAGCGGCCAAUCUGCAUACUCAUAGAUCAAUGCCCCUCCAUGGAUGCCGCGAUAAAAAGUACGCUAAUAGGCACGCUGCACAAGUUAUGCCGUUGGCAUAUACUGAAAAAAUACAAGGAUCACCUGUCCUUGCUGUACAAAACGUAUGAGAAAUUCAAGGAUGAGCUGACCUCCGUUCUCAACCACCCGCUGAUGCCAUCAGAGUUUGAACGCGCUUGGCAUGAGCUCAUGGAAAAGUAUAACCUGCAAAAUGAUGAGAUUAUGAAGGCGCUUUGGACAGACAGAAAAGAAUGGAUAUCGGCUUACUGCAAGGAGGUGUUCUGUGCACGGAUGACGUCGACACAGAGAAGUGAAAGCAUGAACCAGAUCUUGAAGAGGAACUUUGUCAAGGAAAGACAUGACCUACACAUCUUUGCAUCGCAGGUGGACAGGUGCAUCCAGACAAGGAAGGGCGUCGAGCACGCGGAGACCAUAGCUAACGAGGUAUAUAAACAGAGCAAAGUUUUUAAAGAUGGAUGA
rnacentral:rRNA from 1 species